rnacentral:lncRNA from 1 species
AGGUCAGGGCCAAGAUUGAAGUUACUUUGUACAUUAGCCACCCUCAACUUAGGCUUUUGACCUAAGUCAAAGUGCACAUGUCCAAGGAGGGACCGGGGCCGAACAUAGUAGAUUAUGGGAAAGUGAGUUCAGGGUUUAGAAAGAAAUGGUUUAAUUUUAGACUUGUACUCUUUAUUAGAUUUUGGGACUUGUACUCUUUAUUAGAUAUCUAUGUACUAGUGACUUCCCGUUUCUGGGAGGGAUUUCUGUAAAUAUUUAUUUUAGGUUGCUUCCGCCUUGUUAUUCUUGUUUA